UACGUAGGGUCCAAGCGUUAUCCGGAAUCACUGGGCGUAAAGCGUGCGUAGGUGGAUGUUUAAGUGAGAGGUUAAAUCGUGUGGCUCAACCAUAUCGAUGCCUCUCAUACUGGGGAUCUAGAGGACAGCAGAGGCAAGUGGAACUAGUAGUGUAGCAGUGAAAUGCGUAGAUAUUACUAAGAACACCAAUGGCGAAGGCAGCUUGCUGGGCUGCUCCUGACACUGAGGUACGAAAGCGUGGGGAGCGAACAGG
rnacentral:rRNA from 1 species